GUGAGUCAUCGAAUCUUUGAACGCAUAUUGCGCUCUCUGGUAUUCCGGAGAGCAUGCUUGUUUGAGUAUCAGUAAACACCCUCAGAACUUUCUUGAUUUUCGAAUCUUGGAGCUCUGGAUUUGAGUGAUCCCAACGUGUUCUUUCGCAGAACAUGGCGGGCCACUUGAAAUGCAGGUGCAGCUGGACUUUCUUCUGAGCUAAAAGCAUAUUUAUUUAGUCCUGUCAACACUUGUGUUGCGGAUUAUUACUUCUGCUGCAGCUUACAUAAAGGUUGAUUGUUCAAAUGCUGACUGAUGCAGGAUUUAUCAGGUAGCGUAAAGCGAUCUGUUAAACUCGAUCUCAAAUCAAGUAAGACUACCCGCUGAACUUAA
rnacentral:rRNA from 1 species